UACAGAGGGUGCUAGCGUUGUUCGGAAUUACUGGGCGUAAAGGGCGCGUAGGCGGCCUUCUAAGUCGAACGUGAAAUCCCCGGGCUCAACCCGGGAACUGCGUCCGAUACUGGAAGGCUUGAAUCCGGGAGAGGGAUGCGGAAUUCCAGGUGUAGCGGUGAAAUGCGUAGAUAUCUGGAGGAACACCGGUGGCGAAGGCGGCAUCCUGGACCGGUAUUGACGCUGAGGAGCGAAAGCGUGGGGAGCGAACAGG
rnacentral:rRNA from 1 species